UUCCACUACUCCUCUAAUAUAUAAUUAACAUUACCCUCUCUCACAUGAAAGCAACAGAUAAUGCAUGGUGAUGCCAAGGUCAAAGAUUUUUUUGUAGGCUCUCCAUCACUUUCCUGUCUCAACCAGAAUCUUUCAUAGAUCAUGGGUGCCGUGGACAUCCACCAUUUGAGCUGUUGGUGCCGCACGAGGGCCCCGCCCCCA
rnacentral:lncRNA from 1 species